rnacentral:rRNA from 1 species
UCCAGACUCCUACGGGAGGCAGCAGUGGGGGAUAUUGCACAAUGGGGGGAACCCUGAUGCAGCGACGCCGCGUGGGUGAAGGAGCGUUUCGGCGCGUAAAGCCCUAUCGGCAGGGAAGAAGGAGGACGGUACCUGACUAAGAAGCCCCGGCUAACUACGUGCCAGCAGCCGCGGUAAUACGUAGGGGGCAAGCGUUAUCCGGAUUUACUGGGUGUAAAGGGGGCGCAGACGGCAGCGCAAGCCAGGAGUGAAAGCCCGGGGCCCAACCCCGGGACUGCUCUUGGAACUGCGCGGCUGGAGUGCAGGAGGGGCAGGCGGAAUUCCUGGUGUAGCGGUGAAAUGCGUAGAUAUCAGGAGGAACACCGGUGGCGAAGGCGGCCUGCUGGACUGCAACUGACGUUGAGGCCCGAAAGCGUGGGGAGCAAACAGGAUUAGAUACCCCCGUAGUC